UGUGCAGAUGUGUGUGCUUUACAGACCUUUCCUCUUGGGCCAAGGUAUCAUAUGCACUGUAGGAUCUGAAAAUGGACUGUGUAGCCUUUGGAAAGACACAUGCCUUGCUCUGUCUUUCUGACUGAAAUCAGCUACAUAGGCCUCCUUUUACACAUUAAGAAGUACCUCUAACUAAAGACUAUGAUUUGUGCAUGAGUGUGCUAUAACUACCUUGUACAUGAAAAGAUUUCUCAUUCAUUCUGUUUCUAGUUUUAUUUAAAGUGGCCCUACUCUAAUAAUAAUAGUUUGUUGCUAAAAAUCAGUAUAACUUACAAGUGGUCUCAAAUGUUUGUAUAAGUUACAUAUUGUCAUUGAUGUCGUUUUUUACCUAACAGAAAAAUAAGCUGAGUUGUGUUCAUGGAAAGGACUCUGUUAGAAUGAGAAAACAAAAUUGUGAAAUAUUGACUCGUUGUAUAGGUAUAGAAGUGAAAUAGUUAGGGGUUGGAGAUUUAGCUCAGUGGUAGAGCUCUUGCCUAGGAAGCGCAAGGCCCUGGGUUCGGUCCCCAGCUCCGAAAAAAAAAAAAAGAACCAAAAAAAAAAAAAAAGAAGUGAAAUAGUUUGCCAGGCUGCAGUAGACAAAGGCUGAGUUCUGUGAGUUUGUGUUCAGCCUGGGCUACAUAGUGAGACCCUGUAUCCAGGAGAAAAGGGGGAAAAAAGGAAGGAAGAAAAAUGACAUGUUUUCAAGCUUAGGCUGUAACUCAGAGGUAGCAUACUUGUCUAUCAUGUAUCACAUCCCAAUGCCAUAGGGGAAAAUAAGGAAGAUUUCUUGACUUGUGUCAAGAAAUAUGUAUUGUGUCUGUGUGGGUUUUUUUUUUUCUUUUGGUAAAAAUUGUUCCUUGAAAGCUGGUCUUUUGUUUUUUAGAAUACAUGUUCUGUAAAACCUGGGCUAUUUUUUAAUAAGUGUUUUCUUGAAACUUCUCUUUGAGACCUAGUUCUAGCUGGUCUUACCUCCCUUCUGGAGACCUGCCCCACCUCUAGCUCACUUUCACCCUCAUGUCUGAGCUUCACAAGUGCUGGGAUUGCAGGCAUGUGCCACCAUUGACUGUAGUCUGCUUUUGCUCUCACUUUAGCUUUUCUCUGCCCCACAAAUUAGAGAUACAAAGAGUGGUGGCAGGCACCUGCCUUUUCCGUUAGCUACCCUGCUGGCCGAAGUAGAAUCCACGAAGUCCAAGAACGUGAGACAGUCUGGCAUCAUAUUAACACCUCAUCUCAAAAAUAUGUCAGAAAAUAAAACUAUGAAGGGAUUUUACUUGAAUUUUAUCCUUUUUUUUCCCUGAUAGUGGAAAUAGCCAUAUAUGGUAACGUUUCCCAUGAGGAAUAUUUAAAUCAUGGUUAUGAUAUGGUUGACUCUGGCUUUUACCGUAAUUAUGCAGAGUAAUCAGAAAUGGCACUGUCAAAAAAAGUAUAGGGUUGGGCUGGAGAGAUGGCUCAGUGGUUAAGAGCACUGACUGCUCUUCCAGAGGUCCUGAGUUCAAUUCCCAGCAAACACAUGGUGGCUCACAACCAUCUGUAAUGGGAUCUGAUGCCCUCUUCUGGUGUGUCUGAAGACAGCUACAGUGUACUCACAUACAUAAAAUUAAUAGAUUUUUUUAAAAAAAGUAUAGGGUUGGAAUGGAGCUCAGUGAUAGAGCACUUGGCUAUGGUAGAGCACUUGGCUAUGGUAGAGCACUUAAAAGGGUGUGGGUUCAAUCCUAUACUUAGGAAUCCCAUAAAAACCUAGGAAUGUAGCUGGAAAAUGUAAAGACAUAUUAGGAAUAUUACAUUUAAAAUAUAGAGAUGAAUUGUGGUUGAGUUGAUAAAGUGCUUGCUUAGCAUACAUAAAGCCAUGGGUUUGAUCCACAACAUCACGUAAGCCAGGUAUGGUAGCACAUGUGUACAAUCCCAGUACACUCAGGAGACAGAGAUAGGAAGAUAGGUUCAACCUCAUCCUUGAGUAUAUAGUGAGUUUAAGGCCAACCUGAGCUACAGAAGACUCUAUCCCAAAGAGAAAAAUGAAAAAAGAAAAGAUACUGUGACUAUUCCCUGCUAUUGACCAUGUGAUAACCUUCCCAUGUCUUAUAUAAUAGAGGUUUGUGGAAAGAGAUGGACAUAAUUGACCCAGAAAAAAAUGUUUUGGGUGGUUUGUUGUUGUUGCUACAAAUUUGAUAACUAUGAGGAGGAUACAGUUGAUUGUUCCUUGUAAAUUAAGUGAUUCUUAAUUCCUUAUCUGCUAUUGUACUUGUCUCUGCCCAAUGAAUUUAUGCUGUGAUUCUUAGGAAACUUAGUGUGAAGACUUGCAGAAUUGAACUGGGCAGUACUCCUACUGUGUAACUUCUAGCUGCUGGUGUCUCCCAUGCUCAGUGUUUUGUGUCUUUUCUUUUUGUUUAAGAGCACCAUUCUUCAGUGUGGAGAAAGGCAUGCUCUGGCUAAAAUCUGUGGAAAGCAGAUUUUCUCAUUUAAAAUAGUGUUACUUUUGUGGAAAUUUUAAAUUUAGCUUUUAUCUGAAGUGCCUUAAGUAGAUUCUUAAUUUACUUUUCUAGUACUGGUUUAAAUAUAAUUCAUUAUGUAUUUUUAAUACACUGUUCAAAAAUGAUACAUUAUUAUAGCAGAGAUAACCAAAUGUCUGGCUUAUUGCUUCCUGUCAAUAAACUUUUUGCACUCUAAAUU
rnacentral:lncRNA from 1 species